UUGAACGCUGGCGGCAGGCCUAACACAUGCAAGUCGAACGGUAACAGGAAGCAGCUUGCUGCUUCGCUGACGAGUGGCGGACGGGUGAGUAAUGUCUGGGAAACUGCCUGAUGGAGGGGGAUAACUACUGGAAACGGUAGCUAAUACCGCAUAACGUCGCAAGACCAAAGAGGGGGACCUUCGGGCCUCUUGCCAUCGGAUGUGCCCAGAUGGGAUUAGCUAGUAGGUGGGGUAACGGCUCACCUAGGCGACGAUCCCUAGCUGGUCUGAGAGGAUGACCAGCCACACUGGAACUGAGACACGGUCCAGACUCCUACGGGAGGCAGCAGUGGGGAAUAUUGCACAAUGGGCGCAAGCCUGAUGCAGCCAUGCCGCGUGUAUGAAGAAGGCCUUCGGGUUGUAAAGUACUUUCAGCGGGGAGGAAGGGAGUAAAGUUAAUACCUUUACUCAUUGACGUUACCCGCAGAAGAAGCACCGGCUAACUCCGUGCCAGCAGCCGCGGUAAUACGGAGGGUGCAAGCGUUAAUCGGAAUUACUGGGCGUAAAGCGCACGCAGGCGGUUUGUUAAGUCAGAUGUGAAAUCCCCGGGCUCAACCUGGGAACUGCAUCUGAUACUGGCAAGCUUGAGUCUCGUAGAGGGGGGUAGAAUUCCAGGUGUAGCGGUGAAAUGCGUAGAGAUCUGGAGGAAUACCGGUGGCGAAGGCGGCCCCCUGGACGAAGACUGACGCUCAGGUGCGAAAGCGUGGGGAGCAAACAGGAUUAGAUACCCUGGUAGUCCACGCCGUAAACGAUGUCGACUUGGAGGUUGUGCCCUUGAGGCGUGGCUUCCGGAGCUAACGCGUUAAGUCGACCGCCUGGGGAGUACGGCCGCAAGGUUAAAACUCAAAUGAAUUGACGGGGGCCCGCACAAGCGGUGGAGCAUGUGGUUUAAUUCGAUGCAACGCGAAGAACCUUACCUGGUCUUGACAUCCACGGAAGUUUUCAGAGAUGAGAAUGUGCCUUCGGGAACCGUGAGACAGGUGCUGCAUGGCUGUCGUCAGCUCGUGUUGUGAAAUGUUGGGUUAAGUCCCGCAACGAGCGCAACCCUUAUCCUUUGUUGCCAGCGGUCCGGCCGGGAACUCAAAGGAGACUGCCAGUGAUAAACUGGAGGAAGGUGGGGAUGACGUCAAAUCAUCAUGCCCCUUAUGACCUGGGCUACACACGUACUACAAUGGCUAUAACAAAGAGAAGCGAAGCAGUGAUGUGGAGCAAAACUCAAAAAAGUAGUCUCAGUUCGGAUUGUAGGCUGAAAUUCGCCUACAUGAAGCCGGAAUUGCUAGUAAUGGCAGGUCAGCAUACUGCCGUGAAUACGUUCCCGGGCCUUGUACACACCGCCCGUCACACCAUGGGAGUGGGUUGCAAAAGAAGUAGGUAGCUUAACCUUCGGGAGGGCGCUUACCACUUUGUGAUUCAUGACUGGGGUG
rnacentral:rRNA from 1 species